CAGGGAUUAAUGAGUAGGAAAAAGAAGAACCCCUGAAGAAGGAAAGACAGGCUACGCUGAUCAGCAUCUGGAUUAGAUGUGCCUUUAACUUACAUCUUCAGGCCUGGUUGGAUUUGUCAGGAUAUAAGGACAUUGAAAAUCAAUGAUUCCAGAACAAUCACGAGGACUUCUAGCACACCCAGACUGAUCUGCAGAAAAAUUGAAUCCAUUUCCUGGAAAAGAAGUCCCAUUCAAUGUAGCAAGAUCAGAGAAUAUGGAGUGCAGAGAUGGCUCAGUCAUGAAGAGCACGUAUUGUUAUGGAAGAGGACCUGAUUUCAAUUCCCAGCACCCACCUUGGUGGCUCACAACUGGCUGUAACUCCAGUUCCACGGAAUCUACCACCCUUGAUUUACCAAUGAGUGCACGUGUGGACAUGUGAGUGCAUACACACUUACACAUGCACCAAGC
rnacentral:sRNA from 1 species